rnacentral:misc_RNA from 1 species
AACGCAUAUUGCACUUUCUGGUAUUCCGGAAAGUAUACCUGUUUGAGGGUCAGUUAAAUAAAAAUCGGUGUUGUCGCUGCCUUUCGUGGUGACGCGUCGGAGUUGGGUCGUCUUAACCUUUGGUUAAGUGACUUAAAAUUUUGCAUGAUUUUCGAACGUAUUUAAAUUUUUUUGUACGUUUGAUGUCGAAUGGUUUAUAUUAGGUUCGGUCAUCCUUAUGACUCGCGCCUAUAAUUUUUUCAUUAAAUGACCUCAAAUCAGGUAAGAAUACCCGCUGAACUUAA